UUUAAUGUGCACCCAUUAGUUUGUAAGUAUAUCUGUCACAGUUGGAUACUCACUAUUUUUUGUUACAGCUUUCCCUAACAUCAUUGGGGCAGUGGAUUGCACACACAUAAGAAUCAGACGCCCCUCAGGUGAACAUGAGGGAGAUUACAUUAACAGGAAAUCCUUCCACAGCAUCAAUGUUCAGAUGAUCUGUGAUGCUGACUGCCUUGUGAGCAAUUUAGAGGCAAAGUGGCCUGGCUCAGUGCAUGACUCUAGAGUCUUUUGGGCUAGUCCAAUUUAUGAGAGACUUUCACAAGGUGAAUUCUCUGGUGUGCUGCUGGGAGAUAAAGGAUACGCCUGUGAGUCAUUCCUCUUGACUCCCCUUGCGGAUCCCCAAACCCCACCACAGCAGGCCUACAACCAUGCACACACCAAGACAAGGGCUCGAAUCGAGAUGACCUUCGGCCUUCUGAAAUCUCGGUUUCAGUGCCUGCACCACCUGAGGAUUUCCCCGGACAGAGCCUGUGAUGUUAUUGCUGCAUGCGUAGUACUGCAUAACAUUGCAGGCCUAAGAAAGGAGAGACCCCCCCCGAGUGGCUGUUGAUGUUGACUGGGAAAAUGCUCC